rnacentral:sRNA from 1 species
AAAUCUUCUUCCAGGGUUAUCGUUAGUCCAGCUUUUCACCACUGUCGUAGCUCUGCCGCAGUUGCAAAGAGGACCCCAAUUCCGGCUCAACGAGUUUGCAUCAGAUCCAGAGCUAUGGCUCACCAUCAUUCAAUUUUUCUGAGCAAAAGAAGAAAACUGAAAUUAGGGCAAUAAACAUUCACGAACACAGAGACUUAAAGGGAAAACAAAUGAGGGUACUGUAGUCUUUUAGUUAGUCAAUUAAACCGCGGAUUGUUAACCAUUAACCUCGGUUUAGUGAUUCCGUCAGUCAAAUUAACGUCUGUUAACGCGCAUGUAUGAUUUAACCACGAACAAUUAGAUUGUGUUUUUCUUGAACGACAUUUAUUAUUUUGGGAUUUUAGGUUCCAAUCAAAAACAAUUGGGUAUUAAAGUUUCAAAUAAAA